CUGCGGAGGGAUCAUUACCGAGUUUACAACUCCCAAACCCCCUGUGAACAUACCACUUGUUGCCUCGGCGGAUCAGCCCGCUCCCAGGUAAAACGGGACGGCCCGCCAGAGGACCCCUAAACUCUGUUUCUAUAUGUAACUUCUGAGUAAAACCAUAAAUAAAUCAAAACUUUCAACAACGGAUCUCUUGGUUCUGGCAUCGAUGAAGAACGCAGCAAAAUGCGAUAAGUAAUGUGAAUUGCAGAAUUCAGUGAAUCAUCGAAUCUUUGAACGCACACUUGCGCCCGCCAGUAUUCUGGCGGGCAUGCCUGUUCGAGCGUCAUUUCAACCCUCAAGCCCUCGGGUUUGGUCGUUGGGGAUCGGCGAGCCCUCUCGCGGCAAGCCGGCCCCGAAAUCUAGUGGCGGUCUCGCUGCAGCUUCCAUUGCGUAGUAGUAAAACCCUCGCAACUGGUACGCGGCGCGGCCAAGCCGUUAAACCCCCAACUUCUGAAUGUGACCUC
rnacentral:rRNA from 1 species